rnacentral:rRNA from 1 species
ACCAUCCUAAGGUAGCGAAAUUCCUUGUCGGGUAAGUUCCGACCUGCACGAAUGGCGUAACGACUUCUCUGCUGUCUCAACCACAGGCCCGGCGAAAUUGCAGUACGAGUAAAGAUGCUCGUUACGCGCGGCAGGACGAAAAGACCCCGGGACCUUCACUAUAGCUUGGUAUUGGUGUUUGGUUCGGUUUGUGUAGGAUAGGUGGGAGACUGUGAAGCGGCCACGCUAGUGGUGGUGGAGUCGUUGGUGAAAUACCACUCUGAUCGUAUUGAGCAUCUCAACCUCGGCCCAUGAUCUGGGUUAGGGACAGUGCCUGGUGGGUAGUUUAACUGGGGCGGUUGCCUCCUAAAUGGUAACGGAGGCGCCCAAAGGUUCCCUCAGCCUGGUUGGCAAUCAGGUGGUGAGUGUAAGUGCAUAAGGGAGCUUGACUGUGAGACUGACGGGUCGAGCAGGAACGAAAGUUGGGACUAGUGAUCCGGCACUGGCUUGUGGAUGCGGUGUCGCUCAACGGAUAAAAGGUACCCCGGGGAUAACAGGCUGAUCUUCCCCAAGAGUCCAUAUCGACGGGAUGGUUUGGCACCUCGAUGUCGGCUCGUCGCAUCCUGGGGCUGGAGUAGGUCCCAAGGGUUGGGCUGUUCGCCCAUUAAAGCGGCACGCGAGCUGGGUUUAGAACGUCGUGAGACAGUUCGGUCUCUAUCCGCCGCGCGCGUGGAAACUUGAGAAAGGCUGUCCCUAGUACGAGAGGACCGGGACGGACGUACCUCUGGUGUGCCAGUUGUUUUGCCUGGGGCAGGGCUGGUUGGCUACGUACGGGAGGGAUAACCGCUGAAAGCAUCUAAGCGGGAAGCCUGUUUCAUGAUGAGGUUUCUUUUGAGGUUCCCCAGAGAUGAUGGGGUUGAUAGGCCGGAUCUGUAAGCACAGUGAUGUGUUGAGGUGACCGGUACUAAUUGACCGAACUAAACAACAA